GAUGAACGCUGGCGGCGUGCCUAAUACAUGCAAGUCGAGCGAACGGACGAGAAGCUUGCUUCUCUGAUGUUAGCGGCGGACGGGUGAGUAACACGUGGAUAACCUACCUAUAAGACUGGGAUAACUUCGGGAAACCGGAGCCAAUACCGGAUAAUAUUUUGAACCGCAUGGUUCAAAAGUGAAAGCCGGUCUUGCUGUCACUUAUAGAUGGAUCCGCGCUGCAUUAGCUAGUUGGUAAGGUAACGGCUUACCAAGGCAACGAUGCAUAGCCGACCUGAGAGGGUGAUCGGCCACACUGGAACUGAGACACGGUCCAGACUCCUACGGGAGGCAGCAGUAGGGAAUCUUCCGCAAUGGGCGAAAGCCUGACGGAGCAACGCCGCGUGAGUGAUGAAGGUCUUCGGAUCGUAAAACUCUGUUAUUAGGGAAGAACAUAUGUGUAAGUAACUGUGCACAUCUUGACGGUACCUAAUCAGAAAGCCACGGCUAACUACGUGCCAGCAGCCGCGGUAAUACGUAGGUGGCAAGCGUUAUCCGGAAUUAUUGGGCGUAAAGCGCGCGUAGGCGGUUUUUUAAGUCUGAUGUGAAAGCCCACGGCUCAACCGUGGAGGGUCAUUGGAAACUGGAAAACUUGAGUGCAGAAGAGGAAAGUGGAAUUCCAUGUGUAGCGGUGAAAUGCGCAGAGAUAUGGAGGAACACCAGUGGCGAAGGCGACUUUCUGGUCUGUAACUGACGCUGAUGUGCGAAAGCGUGGGGAUCAAACAGGAUUAGAUACCCUGGUAGUCCACGCCGUAAACGAUGAGUGCUAAGUGUUAGGGGGUUUCCGCCCCUUAGUGCUGCAGCUAACGCAUUAAGCACUCCGCCUGGGGAGUACGACCGCAAGGUUGAAACUCAAAGGAAUUGACGGGGACCCGCACAAGCGGUGGAGCAUGUGGUUUAAUUCGAAGCAACGCGAAGAACCUUACCAAAUCUUGACAUCCUUUGACAACUCUAGAGAUAGAGCCUUCCCCUUCGGGGGACAAAGUGACAGGUGGUGCAUGGUUGUCGUCAGCUCGUGUCGUGAGAUGUUGGGUUAAGUCCCGCAACGAGCGCAACCCUUAAGCUUAGUUGCCAUCAUUAAGUUGGGCACUCUAAGUUGACUGCCGGUGACAAACCGGAGGAAGGUGGGGAUGACGUCAAAUCAUCAUGCCCCUUAUGAUUUGGGCUACACACGUGCUACAAUGGACAAUACAAAGGGCAGCGAAACCGCGAGGUCAAGCAAAUCCCAUAAAGUUGUUCUCAGUUCGGAUUGUAGUCUGCAACUCGACUACAUGAAGCUGGAAUCGCUAGUAAUCGUAGAUCAGCAUGCUACGGUGAAUACGUUCCCGGGUCU
rnacentral:rRNA from 1 species